CACUACCCGUUGUCUGACCGUCUGGAGAUAGGCGUAACCUAUUUUUAGCCCAAUGUGUCACAAUGUGUCAUGAUGACGAGAACAACAGACAGCACAGACACGGGAGAAAUGUGUUUAUUUACUUACAUUUUCGGCAAUGUUUCUGUGUACUUAAAAGCAGCUGAGAGGAGAGGACAAGCACUCACUCUGGUGAAGCAACCCUCUCUAGUGCAGACCACACCAGCCCAAACCUCCGCUCCCACUUAGCCCUGAGUCCCCACUUGUGUCAGUCCCGAGCACACCCUGCGACCACGCACACAGACCACCCUCUGCGAGAGCGAGAGACUUUGUACGUGUCCACUUGGUUCAUUCCUCAGUCUAGCAGUCAGUCACAUCUGCGUUAUCUUAUACUUCUUGUUGACUGGAACUCCUCAACAGCACAAAGUCUGCUUUGACUAUCAAGGGAAC